AUUGAACGCUGGCGGCAGGCCUAACACAUGCAAGUCGAGCGAGCGGCGGACGGGUGAGUAAUGUAUGGGGAUCUGCCCGAUAGAGGGGGAUAACUACUGGAAACGGUGGCUAAUACCGCAUACCAUCAGAUGUGCCCAUAUGGGUUUAGCUAGUAGGUGGGGUAAUGGCGCACCUAGGCGACGAUCCCUAGCUGGUCUGAGAGGAUGACCAGCCACACUGGAACUGGGACACGGCCCAGACUCCUACGGGAGGCAGCAGUGGGGAAUAUUGCACAAUGGGCGCAAGCCUGAUGCAGCCAUGCCGCGUGUAUGAAGAAGGCCUUCGGGUUGUAAAGUACUUUCAGCGGGGAGGCGUUACCCGCAGAAGAAGCACCGGCUAACUCCGUGCCAGCCGCCGCGGUAAUUC
rnacentral:rRNA from 1 species